AUGAUGUUCCCACAACUCAAGUGGUACCUUGUCCUCUCUACUUAUCUUGUUGUCCCUCUACUCGCCUUCUGCAACUCAUAUGGCACUGGCCUAACAAAUUGCAACCUUGCAUCGACAUAUGGAAAGACAGGCCUUUUCAUUUUUGCCUCAUGGGUUGGCCAUCAUGGUGGUGUGAUCGCUGGCUUAGCAGCUUGUGGUGUUAUGAUGUCCAUAAUAUCCACUGCCAGUGAUCUCAUGCAGGACUUCAAGACUAGUUACCUCACACUCUCUUCGCCAAGGUCCAUGUUUGUGUCACAGUUGAUUGGGACCGCUCUUGGUUGUGUCAUUGCACCCCUCACCUUUUGGCUUUACUGGAUGUCAUUCGAUAUUGGCAAUCCCGAUGGCAUGUUCAAAGCUCCAUACGUUGUCAUCUACCGUGAGAUGUCAAUCAUGGGUGUCGAAGGAUUCUCAGUGCUACCGCAACACUGCCUAGCAAUCUGCUCUGUCUUCUUCUUUGUAGCCAUAGCAAUCAACCUCCUGCGAGACGUCACUCCAACAAGGGUGUCAAAUUUCAUCCCACUCCCGAUGGCCAUGGUUGUUCCGUUUUACAUUGGGGCAUACUUUGCGAUUGACAUGUUUGUUGGCACUGUCAUCUUGUUUGUUUGGGAGAGGGUGAACCGUAAGGAGUCCGAGGACUUCGCAGGUGCGGUUGCUUCUGGUUUGAUAUGUGGUGAUGGUAUUUGGAGUGUCCCUUCUUCGGUAUUGUCCAUCUUGAAGAUUGACCCGCCGAUGUGCAUGUACAUCAAGCCAUCCCUUACCUACGGCUGA
rnacentral:rRNA from 1 species